UUCCGGUUGAUCCUGCCGGACCCGACUGCUAUCGGGGUGGGGCUAAGCCAUGGGAGUCGCACGACCCGCCGCUGCGGGGAGUGGCGGACGGCUGAGUAACACGUGGCUAACCUACCCUCGGGACGGGGAUAACCCCGGGAAACUGGGGCUAAUCCUCGAUAGGCGAGGAGGCCUGGAAUGGUUCCUCGCCCAAAGGGGGCACCGGGGGUUAUCGCCGGUGUCGCCGCCCGAGGAUGGGGCUGCGGCCCAUCAGGUAGUUGGCGGGGUAACGGCCCGCCAAGCCGAUAACGGGUAGGGGCCGUGAGAGCGGGAGCCCCCAGAUGGGCACUGAGACAAGGGCCCAGGCCCUACGGGGUGCACCAGGCGCGAAACCUCCGCAAUGCGGGCAACCGUGACGGGGUCACCCCGAGUGCCACCCAUGUGGUGGCUUUUCCCCGCUGUAGGAAGGCGGGGGAAUAAGCGGGGGGCAAGACUGGUGUCAGCCGCCGCGGUAAUACCAGCCCCGCGAGUGGUCGGGAUGUUUACUGGGCCUAAAGCGCCCGUAGCCGGCCCGGUAAGUCUCUGCCUAAAGCCCCGGGCUCAACCCGGGGAGUGGCGGAGAUACUGCCGGGCUAGGGGGCGGGAGAGGCCGAGGGUACUCCCGGGGUAGGGGCGAAAUCCUAUAAUCCCGGGAGGACCACCAGUGGCGAAGGCGCUCGGCUGGAACGCGCCCGACGGUGAGGGGCGAAGGCCGGGGGAGCAAACCGGAUUAGAUACCCGGGUAGUCCCGGCUGUAAACGAUGCGGGCUAGGUGUUGGGCGGGCGGUAGUGCCCGCCCAGUGCCGCAGGGAAGCCGUUAAGCCCGCCGCCUGGGGAGUACGGCCGCAAGGCUGAAACUUAAAGGAAUUGGCGGGGGAGUACCACAAGGGGUGGAGCCUGCGGCUUAAUUGGAGUCAACGCCGGGAACCUCCACCGGGGGCGACAGCAGGAUGAGGGUCAGCCUAACGGGCUUACCCGUACGCGCUGAGGAGAGGUGCAUGGCCGUCGCCAGCUCGUGCCGUGAGGUGUCCGGUUAAGUCCGGCAACGAGCGAGACCCA
rnacentral:rRNA from 1 species